UCUUGCUGUCCUGCUGGUACUUGGAAUUGUGUGCUUGAGUAGACGUGGAGGAGCUGUGAGAAACAGCAGAAUGAACCAAAGGGCUGUCCAUUCUGAUGCCCAUGAUGAGACGUACACAGCUCUCAACCCCAGGAGCACAUCCUCUGAGUAUGACACUCUGCAGGUAAGUCAUCCUAGACUGAUGAUAUCAGCCUUAUCAUGUAUGUUAGUUAAAUCAGUGAUAGCACUGCCCUAUAAUU